rnacentral:lncRNA from 1 species
GGAGGAAUGGGUAUGGAUAGGAGAACCCAAUUCAACUCAUGGCUGUCAGGAAAUAGAGAGAGAGUUGGCACUUCCUGACUUGGUGUGGCUGUGUAAUUGCAUCUCAGCUGGUGAAGCAAUGGCACAUGAGGUGGACACUGCUACCAGGUUUGGCCAUUGAACCCUGUGCCCAUGUCACCCUUGGAAGUCACAAGGUGAAGCCACCAGAGCCUCUGUCAGCUAGAAGAACACUCAUGGCUGUGGCUGUGAUGGGAUUCUUCCCUGAGAAGGCUUUGUUCCAGAAGCUCGUCCCGGAAGCUGGAUGGUGAUGUGGAGAGGCAAUGAGAUCAUUAAGAGACAGAGCCUUGUGGCAAGUAAGUGGGUCACUGAUGGCCCUGUCUUCAGAAAAGAUUAGUACUCAUCUCAAGGGAUACAUCUGUCCUUCCAAGAAUGAGUUGCUAUAAAAGGACCCUGCCUGCUCCUGCAUCCACUGACUUCCUACUUUGCGUUGCAUGUGGGUGUCAUUGUGACGCCACUCACCAUGAGGUCAUCACUGGAGACUCAAUUAAUAGGCCGUUCAGUCUUGACCUCUUAGACUCAAAGACUGAGUUAAUAAACACCCUCCUUUAUGAAAUGUGUCUUUGGACCUUUCCUUAUAGGAACAAA